rnacentral:rRNA from 1 species
AACGACUCUCGGCAACGGAUAUCUCGGCUCUCGCAUCGAUGAAGAACGUAGCGAAAUGCGAUACUUGGUGUGAAUUGCAGAAUCCCGUGAACCAUCGAGUCUUUGAACGCAAGUUGCGCCCGAAGCCWUCAGGCCGAGGGCACGUCUGCCUGGGCGUCACGC